rnacentral:rRNA from 1 species
GAUGAACGCUAGCGGCAGGCUUAACACAUGCAAGUCGAGGGGUAGAGGAAGCUUGCUUCCUUGAGACCGGCGCACGGGUGCGUAACACGUGAGCAAUCUGCCCUUAAGACCGGAAUAGCCCAGGGAAACUUGGAUUAAUACCGGAUGUGGAGAAGUCAGGCAUCUGACUUCUUCCAAAGCUUGUAACGGCGCUUAAGGAGGAGCUCGCGGCCUAUCAGCUAGUUGGCGAGGUAACGGCUCACCAAGGCGACGACGGGUAGCCGGCCUGAGAGGGUGACCGGCCACACUGGAACUGAGACACGGUCCAGACUCCUACGGGAGGCAGCAGUGGGGAAUAUUGCACAAUGGACGAAAGUCUGAUGCAGCAACGCCGCGUGAGGGAUGAAAGGCC